rnacentral:lncRNA from 1 species
GUUCCCACUUUAGAGUGUUAUCAAUAGGCACUUUGAAAGGAUGAAGUCGAACAAAGACAAGAAAGAGGUAGGCUGAGCUAGGUGGCUCACGCCUGUGAUCCCAGCACUUUGGGAGGCUGAAGCGGGAAGAUCACCUGAGCUCAGGAGUUUGAGAUCAGCCUGGCCAACAUGGUAAAGCCCGUCUCUACUAAAAAUAUAAAAUAAUUAGCCAGGCAUGGUGGUACACGCCUGUAAUCCCAGCUACUCAGGAGGCUGAAGCAGGAAAAUCAUUUGAACCCAGGAGGUGGAGGUUGCAGUGAGCCAGAUCACGCCAUUGCACUCCAGCCUGGGUGACAGAGCAAGACUCCAUCUCAAAAAAAAGGGGGUGGGGGAAUUUGUCAUGUAGACAUAUGGCAGGGGAGAUUUCCAGGAAGGAAGAAAAGCCAGUGCAAAGGCCUUGGGGUGGGAAUUUGCGGGGCAUGUUCAUGGACCAGCAAGGAGCAAAGGGAACAGGGAAGGAUGUGGGAGGUGAGAGCAGGGAGGGAGCAGGGGCCAGAUGAUGGAGGGCCUUGUAGGCCAUGAUGAGGACUUUGGCUUUGACUCUAAGUGACAUCAGGAGCCACCGAAGUUUUGGGCCAGAGAACUGAUUUGAUCUGACUUAUAUUUUUAAAGUGUCCCUCUGGCUGCUGUGUUGGGGAUAGACUGGAGAGAUCAGGGCCAAACCCAGUUAGGAGGCCAUCGAGAUGUCAAUUAGCAAUCUAAGCAGAGAUGUCAGAGUGGCAGACAGAAAAUUCUAAGUGGAGAUACACACUGGGGAUGAGUGGGUGAGGUCACCACAGGAGUCGGGGAGGGGCGUGUCACAGGACCAAGAAUGGACCCCUGAGGCCCUCCCACAUUAACAGCUGGGGGAGGCCAGCGCAAUGGCUUACACCUGUAAUCCCACCACUUUGGGAGGCAGAGGCGGGUGGAUCGCUUGAGGUCAGGAGUUCAAGACCAGCCUGGGCAACAUGGCAAAAACCCGUCUCUGCAAAAAAUACAAAAAUUAGCCAGUGUGGUGGUGCAUGCCUAUAGUUCCAGCUACUUGGGAGGCUAGGGUGGUAGGAUCACUUGAACCCAGGAGGUCGGGGCUGCAGUGAGCUGAGAUCAUGCUACUGCACUCCAGCGUGGGCGACAGAACAAGACCCUGUAAAAAAAAAAAAAAAAAAAAAAAAAAAG